rnacentral:lncRNA from 1 species
UUCAUCCGCCUCCAAAACCCCUCUCUCCUCUUUCUCUCUACCUCUCUUCUCUCCCUCUAAUCCCCCUCUCCUCCUCCUUCUCCCCAUCGUCCCUCUCCUCCGGCGAACCAAGCGUCGUCACAAAGCAGCAGCAACAGCCACCACGAGCCGCCUUCGUCCUCUGAUCAACGUACCACCGCCGCACCAGCCAUGGCACCUCCAUCAACGAAGGCCACAACAACGCCGUCAUCUCCGUACUCCUAGUAGCCACGCCACCACCAACAGCAGCGAUUCAACCCCAGCGCUGCCUUUCCUCCGUCACCAGCAGCCAUGGCGCCACGCCAGUCGCCCAAAGCAGCACCAACAAUAACGGACCUCCCCUCCGUCCAAUCUAUCCGUCUCCUCACUGUCGUCGCUGCUUCACUCUUCCCUCCCUGGUCGACAAAAGACCCCAUUGUCACUGUCUAGUUGUCAUAACCAGCAAGGCUUUCGACAAACAUAUACUAUUUCUAUCUGGUUUGAUUUCUCAAACUCUUAAUUACAUGGUUGUUUGCUUUGGUUAACAUGCAUGAUUGUUUGCUAUGGUUGCAAAUCGAAGCCCUGCAGCUUUAUAAAUUACGAUGCUGUGACUCUGAAUUUUGUUCCUAUUUGUUAAUUUUCGGGCUUAUGUUCGUCUCCAGACUGACAUACCUAUUCAAAGCCCCAAGUUUUAUUAUUUUAAAUUCGUAAUUUGAAGUGUGAUACCUCUAACUCUGAUAUCCUUCACUUACGGGUAAAAGUUGUUACUGUUUGGUCUAAAAUGUGCUUGGGUGAUCUGUUUAAAAUUUGAAUUUGCAGCCAAGUAUUACGACAGCUGAUUAUAGUAGGCUCUGGUUUAUUUACAAUCAAGUGGAAUUUUUUAUUGAUAUAUGAUUGGGAUGAAAUUGUGUGAUAGCUCUUGUCCUUGCUUAUUUUAGGUAAACUGGGUAUGUCUGUGAUUUUCCUAAUCUUUAUUCUUGUAUGGUAUGGAAAGUUUUUUUUAACAAACUGGACUGAUUUAUGGUAAUUACCAAUGUUGAUAUGUUUUCUACCAUUAGUACUUAUUCCCUCCUAAAUUAGUGCUUCCUUGUACUCAUCUCUCGUCUAUUUACGGUAAACCUGCUUACAAUUGAUUCUCCUUACUUAACUAAGGAAAAUAAUAUUAUGGAUUGAUUAUCAGCUUAUUACCCUCUCCUUAAUUGAUUCUGAUUUAGUGAAAAAAUAUUUUUCUCUCCCUUUACCCUCUAAUCCCUUUUACUAUAUAAACUCAUUCCUUUUUUUUCAUUAAGGAAUAAGUUCACAAGCUCUCACUUCUCAAGUUCACUAGUUCACAGGCUCUUAAGCUCUUAAACUCUUAAGCUUUUGACAUUACAAUUACUACUACUCUCUAAGGCAAUUAAAUAUUUUAACGUGUUUCUCUUUGGAGGCUACUGUUAAUAUCUUGCAUACUUCAACUAUUACGUGUGCUUGGAUUUUGGCUCCUAUUGUUCUUAUUCUCUCUGUACUGCUGUUCACUGGUGAGUUCUUGAACGAUGUAAUUUUUCAUUCUCUAUGUGUGUUGAUUGCAUCGUGUUCUAAAAACCUUCAGAAAGCAUGUUUUUAGGAAUAUUUUGAUAUUUGCUACAAUGUGUUCCUGUCUGCUUGCCAUUAUAAUAUGUUUCGCAGGUUAAACAGACACACACAAGUUCCAAAGAGUCUCCGGAAUAUUUAAACUAUGUAAAUUUUAACUAGUUGUUUUUGCUUUAUUUCUAUUUGGUCUGUAAUAUUAUUGUAAACAUUCCUAUCAUUGUAAUAAUAUAAUUCUGGGGACUGCUUUGGGGGCGGAAAUUUACGUGCUCUGUGCACAAACUAGGAUUAUGUGCAAUACGUGCUACGUGGAUCAUCUAGGAUUCAUUAACAUAUGCAAUGCUGAAUUUGUUUCCAACGAAUUUGAGUCGAUCCCGAUAUAUUAACAUAAUUUUUGCAUUAGGUGUGAACGAUUUAAUAUGCCUAUCUUGUUAAAACGAAUAUAAGCAUAUUAACCUGACAUUAUGUAUUAUAGCAUAACGGGCACACUAAUUCGACAUAAACAUAUCAAUGUAUCUUCUGGUAUGUAAUAUAGUGAAUCUUAAGCAUAUUGACAUGUUGAGGUAAUUAUCGUUGAGCAUGUUAACUUAUUGUAAGCAUGUUAAAUUAAGUGAAAAUGGUUAAUACAUUCACUUUUUUCGCUUAUCAUUAUUUUAGGCUACUGCAAUUUUCAGCAUGUUUAUAUGGUAUUUCGGCACAUUAAGAUAAAUCUCAGCAUGUUUAAAUAAAUUUCAGCACGUUUAAAACAUGUUUUUGUGUACCUAUACAAAUUUAGCAUGUUAUUAAUAUUAGAACAUUAAAAUUCUGUGCAUCUAAUAAAUUUCAGCAUGUCAUAACUACUUUUAGCAUGUUAAAGUUUUUGUAUGUUGGCAUAUCUCUAUCACGUUAAAAUAUAUUAGCAUGUCAAAAUAUUUGUUUUUAGCCAUCUUUAGUAUGUUGGUAAAUGUUUAACGUCACUAUGAAAUUCCAGCAGUAAUACAAUUGGUGUUAUAUAAAAAUACAUACUUUUAAGCACUUUUCGGUUCGUUUAAACACUAGAGUAGGUAUAUUAUGGCAUCCUUAACAUGUUAGUGUUUUUUAAUAUUCUUGUUAAUUUCUCUUAUUCUCAUUAGUUUGCAACACUUAAUUCACAAAAUAUUUCUCGACACAUUUGUGACACCCUCAUGAACACGCAUUACAUUGUUGCAUGCACGAAUCACAGUUGUCUUUUAUCAUCACUUGAUUGAACCUUCAGACAUCAUGCCUAUAGGUUAAUGACAUUAUAUAAUUGUCUGUCUUCGCAUGCUAUCACGUUAAUAAACGUUAAUUAAUCAAGAGGCUAACUUGGAAUUAUUACGUGCUACUUGUUGUCCAAUAUAUUCGCGUUUUGAGUCCUAGGCAACAUAGCUUUCUUUUAGUCUAGAACACAAAUCCAAAAUAGUAAAGUCCAAUGCCUCUUGGACAAUAGUUGGGACGAUAAGUAUUACUAAAAACAUUAGUUUUGUCCUUGUCAUAGAACGCUCUUAGAUUUGACAUCCAGCCUAGGUGGGGUGAGAUGGGUUGCCCUUUUCGAAAAUGAUGAUCCCAACAAAUAUUAAUGGCGAGUCUAAUGACAUUAUUACUCGUCUAAGAGUUCGGCCUUUGGGUCGGAUGGUGAUUAACAAGUUGAGUUUCUGAUCCGAAUAAAAUCAAAACAUCUCUUUGUUUAACUCGGACGAUUUCUUUUAGUCUUUUUAUUUAUUUUACAUGUUUAUCUGGGUAGCUAGUUUAUUAUAAAGCAGUCCCCUUUUUAUUAUAAAUUAUGUCGUUUCUUUCUCCUCUCUUAUCUUAUUUCUAUGUUUUUUAUUUAUUUUAUCACCUAGAUAAUCGAUAAUUAGCAUUAACAAAUGACAUGUGUUUGCUUUUAAUUAUCUUAUCGCUUAGCUAAAUAGUAAAUUAAUAAUAAAAGAAGAGAUCUUUAUUUGAUCACAUAAAAUCCCCAUGUAAAGUAUGAAUUCGGCCAGAAACCACCUUUGUGGACCUCAAAAGGUGUCGAACACCUUCCUUUUGAGGUAAUUUAAAC